rnacentral:rRNA from 1 species
UACAGAGGGUGCAAGCGUUAAUCGGAAUUACUGGGCGUAAAGGGUGCGUAGGUGGUUGAAUAAGUUAGGUGUGAAAGUCCUGGGCUUAACCUGGGGAUUGCGCCUAAUACUGUUUAGCUAGAGUACUGUAGAGGAAGGUGGAAUUUCCAGUGUAGCGGUGAAAUGCGUAGAUAUUGGAAGGAACAUCAGUGGCGAAGGCGGCUCACUGGAUCGGUACUGACGCUGAGGUGCGAAAGCGUGGGGAGCAAACAGG